GUGUGCCCGCAUCGACCGCACAUGUGCUAAAACUGGAACAAUACAGAGAGGUUAGCAUGGCCCUGCACAAGGAUGACACGCGAAUUUGUGAAGCAUUCCAUAAUUUU